GCCUGUUUGUCACUUUGCUUCCUAGAGUACUUUUCACAUACAGCUUAGCUCUGCCCAAUGCAGAUUUUCCUCUUCUUGCACAAGAGUGGUUGAUUGAAAACAAUGGUCUGACAACAUUUUUACAUAUGUAAUCAAAAUAUUAAAGAAACAGUUGGCCACAGUUCAACUCAUGUUGAAAGUGAAAGUGACACACUGGUUCAAAGCAUGACAAUGCCUGUCUAGACAGGUUUAUCCAGUUGUAUAUUUUUGUUUAACACAGGUGCAUUGAAGAAAGGCUCUCUCUGCACAUACAUUUUUAUGUUAGAAUACUGUAUAUAAUGUCAGUAAUAUUACCAUUAAUCACUAAAAUAAAAUAAACCCCAG